rnacentral:lncRNA from 1 species
AUGAAACAAGCAAAAGUGUCUGGUACCUGCCAUGAGAGGACUGAUUCCUUUCUCUGGGUAAUUGACAGCUCCAGCCAAGGGGUUUCAACAUUUGCAGCCUAUUCAUCUACUGACACUGCACAAGCUGUGUUUCAUGUAAAAGUCUGUGCUCAAAUCAAAACGGAGUACAGGUGGCCAUGGUAUGAAGAGUGGAACAGGGAGAACUGUUAAUAUGGAGUGAACAUAAAUAAUACAUGGAUAGCAGUAUUCCUCUAAAAGAAGCCUUCAAUAGCAAGUUUGAAAUUAUUGUAUUAAAGCAUUAUUUCACAAAUAUCUGGGAAAAUUGUAUUCAAAGUUGAUCCACAAUCCUUCCUCACAUGCAAGUGCUCUGGAUUUCACCUUUGCAUUUGACAAAAAAGACUCCAAAAUCCCUCUAUAGAAGCAGCUAAAACUCCAGCUACUGCCUUAAUUGCUGUUAAAGAUUUCAGGUCCUAAGUAUAAAUUUUCCAAACACAAGAACCAGAAAACGGAAUUAAAAUUCUGAAGAUUCUUAUAUCUUGAUAAACUAUUUUCAUCCUCUUCCCUGACAAGCUUCAUUAAUUCUUUCAUGUCCUUAGUGAUCCAUUUCUGUCUCCUUAUCAACUUCCUCCUAUCCUUCCUUCCUUCCUCCAUGCUGAUACAGUUCUACUCUCUUUGCCUGCCCUCCAUUUUUUCUCUCAUCAUAUCACUUUGAAUCUAAAAAUUCUCAGAUAAUGCAUCACAUUUCUAGGUGGUUGUGCAGUCACUUUGUCAUCAACAUUUUAACCCAGAAUGAUGAGGGCACAACACUUGUUUAGAUAAGUCAUUACCAAGCUUCCAUUUGUUCCAUUAUUAAUCUAAUGAGUUUCAUAAAGCAAAACUGCCUAAAUCUCAGCUGAAAUGAGAAAAAGAAGUGCAGAUUUGAGAAGGUGAAAUCUAUUAUAUUAACAAAUUAAUACCUUACCAGUCUCAGAUCUGAAACACUACCUAUGGGUUUCAUCCUUUCUGGCUGAAUUUAAUGUGAAGUCUUCUGCAAAAUGUAAUGAGACAAGAAUACAUUACAGAUUUCAAAUGUUGAAAAGCAUACAUGUCAAAAUUAAUCAGUAUCUCUCUAAAUGUAUUGCAUCAAUUAUCUCUUUUGCCAGAGCAGAUGAAUCCAAGUGGCAUUUUUGGCUGUGAACCUUUGGUUUGUAGUGCUUUUGUGCUUAUUUGG